CGGCCUCCUGGGAACCCCCCCCCACCCGCCCCGAGGGCGCACGCGAGUCCACACGUGCAGGGGAGCGGCUCGAGGGAGCCCCGGCGUCCCCCGCGUGUCGCCGGGCCGGGGAGGAAGCCCAGAGCCCCGGCCCCACUCGCCUGGGAUUCCCCGGGCCCCUCGCUUCCCGCGCCGGGUAGGGUGUCGCUCGCGUCCCGUCCGAGGAGAGGGCAGCGCGCGGGCUGGAGGCGGCGGCCCGCCCCGGGCCCCGGCACGGCCCACCAGGAAGCCGGCAGCUGCGCCCCGCGCCGCUGCCCACCCCGAUUUGAAUACCCCGGCGAGGGCGGGCCGCGUUCCCCGAGCUGGGUGCGCCCGCGGCGCCCUGGCGAGCGACCCCAGGGGAGGCAAUGGGGGCCUUUCGAGCGCCUGAAAAGUUCGUGCUUCCGCAGGGGCACGGAAAGUGCUAGUAAAACGCUUGGCACAGCUCGAGAAGCGCAGCCAGGAGCUACAGUCUGAUUUUGUUUCUGUUGACCGAUAACAUAACCGUGAGUAGAGCCGAGGGCGAGAGCGAGGAAAGGGAUCAGAGGUCCACGGACAGAAUCAUGACCAUCCUAAAUAUUCGAUUGGUGAAUUUACCUGAGAAAUUGAGACUCAAGAGUAUGAGAAUGUGUGACUAGGACCGAAAGCAGAUUUUCAGGUAACGAUGUGAAUGCUGCUUAAAUGAGGAUUGACUCUGAUAUUCCAUGGUUUCCUUCCUGGUGAGCUCGCUGGCUCGCCACCCUCCACACUCAUCAGCAGCUGGUGUUUCACCCAGUGGUACUGUGAUCUUCACCACCCGUUCACUUGCACAGAAAAAGAUGGCAUCGAUUUAUAUUUAAAAUAAAGUGAGUUUGAAAGGUUUUAUGAAAUCCCUUCACUUUUGGAUCAGUUUUUGCCAGCAGCUGCCUGCAUGUAGUUGUUGUUCUCGGUUGGUCGUGACUGGUUAGGAAAGAUUGCUGCUUUUUGGAAAUGGUUCCAAAGACUCAUUGUUCCAGACGUCGGACAUCCUCAUACUCUUUAGGUCUGACUUUUCAGGUGGUUGGUCUAAAACAGAUUAAUUACUAAACUCUCAGUGAAUAAUUAACCAUUUGACUUGUUCCCAAGUUAUAUACUCACUGGGCUAGAAAUGAUUUCCCAAACAACUGAAGAUAAGGGAAGGUUACUCCUGGUUUCACAAGGCCCCCAUUGUUGCUGGCUUGGGCGUACGUGUGAGAGAGAUCAGCUGAUACCUACGCACUGGUCCAGCUUCUCGGUCAAACCACUUCCUGGGGUUUUCUCGGGUAAUGGCAGUGAUUCAGAAGAUACCUCAGCAGUUUUAGAGGAUGGUUCCCUGUGUGUUAGUAUGGGCCUCAGUGACUGGGAGCUGUCAAAUUCAAAAGGAGCGUUUUUAUUGCAGUGCCAUGAAAUCUGUGAUUUGCUUUUGCUCGAAGUUGCAUUUCAGUGAGUGUUGGGUUGCUUGCCUGUGUGUUUUCAAAAAUAUAUAUAUAUAUAUAUUUUAUUAAGGUUAUGAAAGUUAACAUCCUUGUGAAAUUACAGUUG